rnacentral:rRNA from 1 species
AGUGAACGCUGGCGGUAGGCCUAACACAUGCAAGUCGAACGGCAGCACAGUAAGAGCUUGCUCUUACGGGUGGCGAGUGGCGGACGGGUGAGGAAUACAUCGGAAUCUACUUUUUCGUGGGGGAUAACGUAGGGAAACUUACGCUAAUACCGCAUACGACCUACGGGUGAAAGCAGGGGAUCUUCGGACCUUGCGCGAUUGAAUGAGCCGAUGUCGGAUUAGCUAGUUGGCGGGGUAAAGGCCAACCAAGGCGAGGAGCGGUAGCGGGUCUGAGAGGAUGAUCACCCACACGGGAACUGAGACACGGUCCAGACUCCUACGGGAGGCAGCAGUGGGGAAUGUUAGACAAUGGGCGCAAGCCUGAUCCAGCCAUACCGCGUGGGUGAAGAAGGCCUUCGGGUUGUAAAGCCCUUUUGUUGGGAAAGAAAAGCAGCAGGUUAAUACCCCGCUGUUCUGACGGUACCCAAAGAAGAAGCACCGGCUAACUUCGUG